ACAGUGGGAAGGAAAUGUCAGGAUGGGCUGCACUGAAGCUAACCUGAGAGAUCCUUUAAGAGCACUUCAGUUACACUGACAUGCUCUGCUGCACCCAGCUCCUCAGGACUCUCUGCGGGAUGGGCCACAAGACAUACACUCUGGUCAAUACAAACGAGGCUUCGACAGACCAUCCGAGACCUGGAAAGCGUAAGCUUCCCAAGAAGAGAGUUCCAACUCAUCCAGCCAGUGAAGGUGACAAAUGGAGAAGAAAAGGAAAGCAAAGACACAGAAUUAAAGAUGACAGUGUGAGAGAUGAGACAGAAACCUCUUCCCAAAACCACAUAUAUGAA